AGCUUUGCGCAGUGGCAGUAUCGUAGCCAAUGAGGUUUAUCCGAGGCGCGAUUAUUGCUAAUUGAAAAGAAAUGUAUACCCAAAUUUUCUUUUACACAGUCACAUAAACACUAAAUUUAUUUCACUUUAGUUUAG